rnacentral:rRNA from 1 species
GACGAACGCUGGCGGCGUGCCUAACACAUGCAAGUCGAGCGAAUGAAGUUCCUUCGGGUAUGGCUUUAGCGGCGGACUGGUGAGUAACUCGUGUGCAACCUGCCUCCUAGAGGGGAAUAUCCUCCCUACAGGGAGAUUAAUACCGCAUAAGAUUGUAGUACCGCAUUAUACAGCAAUUUAAGGAGCAAUCCGCUUUGAGAUGGGCCCGCGUCGCAUUAGCUAGUUGGUGAGGUAAUGGCUCACCAAGGCGACGAUGCGUAGCCGACCUGAGAGGGUGAUCGGACACAGUGGGACUGAGACACGGCCCAGAAUCCUACGGGAGGCAGCAGUGGGGAAUAUUGCACAAUGGGGGAAACCCUGAUGCAGCAACGCCGCGUGAGUGAUGACGGCAUUCGGGAUGUAAAGCUCUGUCUUCAGGGACGAUAAUGACGGUACCUGAGGAGGAAGCCACGGCUAACUACGUG